GAUGAACGCUGACAGAAUGCUUAACACAUCAGCAAUUGAUUGGUGGCGGACGGGUGAGUAACGCGUAAAGAACUUGCCUCACAGCUAGGGACAACAUUUGGAAACGAAUGCUAAUACCUAAUACUGUGAGAGAGCUUUGCGUCCCAUUAGCUAGUUGGAGAGGUAACGGCUCACGAAGGCGAGGAUGGGUAGCCGGCCUGAGAGGGUGAUCGGCCACAAGGGGACUAGGGAGCGGCCCUUACUCCUACGGGGGGCAGCGGUGAGGAAUAUUGGAAGAUGGACCGAAGUCUGAUCAAGCAAUUCUGUGUGCACGAUGAAGUUUUCGGAAUGUAAAGUGCUUUCAGUUGGGAAGCGGUACCAACAGAAGAAGUAACGGCUAAAUACGUGCCAGCAGCCGCGGUAAUAC
rnacentral:rRNA from 1 species